AUUCAUGGGAACAAACAUUUUCUUUUUUCACCCACUUAUACUGUGCUUAGUGUUAGGGAUACAAACAGAAAUAGGACAUCAUCUUUGCCCUCAAGGUUAAGGGGAAAACAUAGUUCCAAAUAUUUAAAUCAAAAGUAAAACCAGACGUUCAUGUGUUUGUCUUUUUUCUUAACAUGUUAAGCUAAUUGAGAACUUAGAUUCCAUGUGGUAUGUAUAUAUUUGUAUAGGUUUGUUUAUAUAUGUACUAUAUAUUCUGCAAAGAGAAUAUGGUAUAGUAAAUAAGACUUGGGUUCAAAUCUUGGCUCUACCUUUUAUUUGCUCCAUGAUCUUAUAUGAAUAAUUUAACUUCUGUGAGUCUUAGUUUCCAUUAUUUAUAAAAUGUGAGUGAGAGUACCUACCUCACUGGACUUUAUAAGGAUUAAAUGAGAUAACAUGGAGUUCCUGUCAUGGCGCAGUGGUUAAUGAAUCCGACUAGGAACCAUGAGGUUGCAGAUUCGAUCCUUGGCCUUGUUCAGUGGGUUGAGGAUCUGGCGUUGCCAUGAGCUGUGGUGUAGGUUGCAGAUACGGCUCGGAUCCCACGUUGCUGUGGCUCUGGCGUAGGCAGGUGGCUACAGCUCUGAUUCGACCCCUAGCCUGGGAACCUCCAUAUGCCACGGGAGCAGCCCUAGAAAAGGCAAAAAGACAAAAAUAAAUAAAUAAAUAAAUGAGAUAACAUAAUGCACCUGAAUAGCCUGGCAGGCAUUCACUCCUCCGAUGUGUGGGUGGAGUCAGAAUGUAAAGUAGGGCUGGCGGUUUCCUUUUAUUGUGGAGAGAUCAAGCGCACACACACUCUGAAGCCAGACUCUUUGGUUUAAAAUCCCAGCUCUAUCAUUGACUAGCUGUGUGACCUCGACUAUAAAGUGAGGAUAGUCAUCAUCAUUAGAGUCAUUACAAAGAUUAUAUGAGUUAUAUACGCUAACGCACGUAGCAUGCUUAGAUGGGUGCCUGACACCUGGUAAAUGCCAUAUAAUUGUUGACUAUAAUUGCAUAUCCCCCUAAACUUGUAGUUUUUCUAAAAGAAAAUAUUAUGGACAUUUUAGUUAUAUUAACUAAUAGAGUUAUAAGGAUAUUAACUAAACUUAGUUUCUCAACAUAAGGUAGGGCAGCUGCUAUUACAAUAUGAUAUAAUGAAACCACCAGUGCCCUAGGCUGAUCCACAUUUAUAAUAAGGUACUGCUGCUGUGAGCUGGUAUCUUCCUCUGUGAAAUAGCCACACUCUUCUCUGCCCCACACAGGAUUCUUUUAUCGUCAACAUAGUAAGAAGUACAAGUUUCACAGAUGAUCUAGGUUUGAAUCCCAAUGAGUCACUUAAUUCUUUCUUUCCCUUCAUUAUACAUAUUUUUUUUUUAAUGAAGAAAAGUGAUUUCUAUAACCCUCACUACAGACAUGAGUGAUUUCUCUCUCCAAGGUCAGAGAGAGCUGUUUUCAUUUAGGAAAAUAUUCUAACAGUAGGUGAGAAAUGCAAGUGGGAUCUCAGCGCAUGUACGAAAGGGGAAAAUUUAAUUCAACUGUGCUUAAUGGAGAAAUAAACAGAUUAGAGGUGAGGGAGAACAUGCGGGAGGGAAGAGAGGAAAAUAGGGUGAGUGGACAAGGCGGGAAACUAGGGCCUGUGGAGAGAGUUAGUCAUGGGAACUCUAAGGUGAACUAGUAAAGAACUUUGAGGAAAAGGGAUGUCUAAUAUUUAAGCCUAUGUUUGUUUGCAUUUAUUUGAUGUAAACCUCCUUUCCUUCCCCAAGACUUAACUGAAGUCUGGUCUGUCUGUAAGUGAAUGAGUGGGGAAUAAAGAGCCAGCGUGGGAAGUGUGGCAUACCCCCAGUCACUUCUUCAUGAUAACUUGUGUGGAGCUGAGAGCAUCACGUGGCAAUGACAAUAGAGUUGGAAUUUCAUGUAGUAACAAGGAGCAAAAUGCAUGGUGGUCCAGAGAAGUCCCUUCUAUACCGUAUUAGAGGGAGGUGACCUUGGAGGGAGGCUAUGAAAAAAAUUAUAUCUAUUUCCUAAUGUUACAGAAAAGGUUAACUCUGAAGUAUGUCAUAGAUAGGGUUUCCAAAUAAGACUCCUAUACGGGGCUUUUUUUUUCUCUCUCUCUUCCUUAAUUGAUUCAGCAAAUAUUCAUAGAGUGCCAAAUAAGUGCCAGGCACUAUUUGAAGUCCUGGGAACAUAGCAGGAAACAGAACAGACAAAAAUCCCUGCUCACAGAACUUAGUUUUGGAAAUUGUGAAGAUGGGGAGACAAGAGAGAGUGUAUUAAGUGCAUAUGUCAGAGGGCAGUCGGAGUUACCAUCGUGGCUCAGUGGUUAACGAACCCCACUAGCAUCCAUGAGGACAUGGGUUCAAUCCCUGGCCUAACUCAGUGGGUUAAGGAUCCAGCAUUGCUGUGAGCUGUGGUGUAGGUCGCAGACGGCAGCUCAGAUCUCCUGUUGCUGUGGCUGUGGCAUUGGCUGGCGGCUACAGCUCCAAUUUGACCACUAGCCUGGAAACCCCCUUAUGCCGCGGGUACAGCCCUAAAAAGACAAAAGACAAAUAAGAUGGGUCAGAGGGCAAUAAAUACUACCCAUCAAAAUCACAGAGAGGGGAGAAGAGGGGGUGUCAGAGCAGGGUGGUGGAGGGUAUGGUUUUAAAUAGAGGGGACAGGGGACCCCUGAUGCAAAGAUGAGUUUGAGUGGCUGUCUGGGAGGAAAACCUUUCAGGUGGAGAGAAUAGUAGACACAGGCCUUAAUCAGGGAGUGUGACUGAUGGGUUGGAAGAUCAGUGAGAAGGCAGUGUAGCUAGAGUGAGUGAGGGUAAGGUUGUAGGAGAAGGAGGCAGAGAGCUGGGAAGGGUGCGUAUUGGGUACAGGCAGAGGCUCUGAAUACUGACUACAUGUUAGAAUCACCUGGAAAGCCCCUGCUUGAUGCUGCCAACCCUGAUGUAAUUGGUCUGGGCUAGGACCUUAGCAUGGGUGAGUUUUAAAAGAGACCAAUGAGAUUCUUCUGAUAGGCAGCCAGGAUUGAGAACCACUAAUGUGAGUGAUGUAGGCAACUGAAAAGUUGCUUUCUGUGAGGGAAGGGAAGCUUUUGCAAGGUGUGGAUCACUCAUAUGUUCUGAUUUAAACUCUAAGACAAUCCCUUAAAGUUAAAUAAAACCAGUUGUAUUCAAGCCAGUUAUAGUCAGUGUAUCUUUUAAACCACUGAAAAAUCUCCCUUGAAACAGUCGGGGUAUAAAUUAAAACUGUGUUCGUGUUCAUGAAAGUAUUUGGCACAUGAUAGUUGCCAAAUAAAUGAUGGCGUAUUACCAUGUGUAAGUAUGGUUUCAUGAAAAUAUGAGAUAUCAGUGUUAUAACAAACAUUGCUUUAUGUUUAAGGCAAUGUAUUUGGUAAAAUUCUGUUAAAUAUUAUCCUCCAGUUUCUGUUGGAAAUUUAUUGAAUGGUACCUAGUGAAUUAGGUUAGAGUAUUCAUAAAUUUCUGAAUAUGAGAAAAAUAGCUUAAUGCUUAUCUACAAAACCUUGUCUGAGAUUGGAAAUUAUGCUUAUCUGUGAUAAACUGUCUGAAACUCCCAUGAGGGUGAUAAAUAACAAUGGAGGAGAUGGAAGUUAAAUGACAAAAUCUUCUCUAAACUGGGCUAAAUGCCAUUUAUAGCAAUUCUCUGUGAAAUGUUUUAUUGUCAUGUAAAUUAUAUGCCAUUUUCAAUCUGGCAGUUUUCAAAUUGCUUCUCUUUUUGUAAAAAAAAAAAAGAAAAAUUUUCUGUUAAUAAUGGAAAACAUUCUUUUCUGUUCUGGAAUGUUGAAAAAAUAGCUAUAAAAUGUGAAUUGCAAUACAGUGUUCUAAAUAUGUAGUAACUGUGGGAACUCUAUAAAACUGAAAUCCACCCAUAGUUUUCCAGAACCCAGUAUCGACAUUCACCAGGGGAAUUGGUAACCUUAAUUCCCCUAAAUAUCAUUAUUCAAAAAUACAUAUUAUAAUCAUUAAAAGAGAAAUUAAUGUAA
rnacentral:lncRNA from 1 species